rnacentral:rRNA from 1 species
UUAGUUUGAUUCCUGGCUCAGGACGAACGCUGGCGGCGUGCCUAAUACAUGCAAGUAGAACGCUGAGAGAGGAGCUUGCUCUUCUUGGAUGAGUUGCGAACGGGUGAGUAACGCGUAGGUAACCUGCCUGGUAGCGGGGGAUAACUAUUGGAAACGAUAGCUAAUACCGCAUAAAAUUGAUUAUUGCAUGAUAAUUAAUUGAAAGAUGCAAUUGCAUCACUACCAGAUGGACCUGCGUUGUAUUAGCUAGUUGGUGAGGUAACGGCUCACCAAGGCGACGAUACAUAGCCGACCUGAGAGGGUGAUCGGCCACACUGGGACUGAGACACGGCCCAGACUCCUACGGGAGGCAGCAGUAGGGAAUCUUCGGCAAUGGGGGGAACCCUGACCGAGCAACGCCGCGUGAGUGAAGAAGGUUUUCGGAUCGUAAAGCUCUGUUGUAAGAGAAGAACGGGUGUGAGAGUGGAAAGUUCACACUGUGACGGUAUCUUACCAGAAAGGGACGGCUAACUACGUGCCAGCAGCCGCGGUAAUACGUAGGUCCCGAGCGUUGUCCGGAUUUAUUGGGCGUAAAGCGAGCGCAGGCGGUUAGAUAAGUCUGAAGUUAAAGGCUGUGGCUUAACCAUAGUAUGCUUUGGAAACUGUUUAACUUGAGUGCAGAAGGGGAGAGUGGAAUUCCAUGUGUAGCGGUGAAAUGCGUAGAUAUAUGGAGGAACACCGGUGGCGAAAGCGGCUCUCUGGUCUGUAACUGACGCUGAGGCUCGAAAGCGUGGGGAGCAAACAGGAUUAGAUACCUGGGGUAGU